rnacentral:rRNA from 1 species
AAAUAAUACAAUUAAAUUAUUUUAGUUUUAAUUAAUUGAUAAUAAAAAAAUUUUAAUAAAAGAUUUAUUAAGUGAAAUUUUAAAUUUUUUUAAGAUUAAUAAUUUUUGAUGAUUUAAUAAAUUUUAAUUUUAAACUAGGAUUAGAUACCCUAUUAUUUAAAACUUAAUUUUAAAAACUAAAUUAGUAUUAGUUAAAUUCUUGAAAAUUAAAGAUUUUGGCGGUAUUUUAGUCUAUUCAGAGGAACCUGUUCUAUAAUCGAUAAUCCACGAUUUUAUUUACUUUUUUUAUAUUAAUUUAUAUAUCGUCGUAGUUUGAAUAUUUUAUAAGAAGUUAAAUAUUCAAGAUUUUUAUAAUAAAAGAAAUCAGAUCAAGGUGUAGUUUAUAAAGAAGAAGAAAUGGGUUACUAUAAUUAAAAUUUAAGAUAAUUAUUUUUAUAAUAAUUUGAAUAAGGAUUUGACAGUAAUUUUAAUUAAUUUGUUAAAAUGAUUUUAGCUCUAAAAU